CGGAGAAAAUAUACUUUUGAAUGUAGAAAUUGUGUACAGUUGAUCAUGUGAUUACUCAUUUUAUUCCAGUUUGCAGUUGUGUAUUAUCCAGAUUAUACUGGUUAUUUUCACACAUAGCGUGGCUACAGAAAUACUUUGUCGAAUGAAAUAUUUUUUGUGAAAUGAAGGUCAUUCUUAAUCAUGUUUAUAAAAAUUUGUUUGGUUACAUCACAAAAGAUGAGAAUAACUGCAGUGACCUAAGGUUGGAACUACAGCAAAGCUGAGAGUAGAUAAACUUGGACCAACUAUAGAUAGCUAGAUACUCAAUCAUAAGCUAAAAGAAUGUCCCAAGCAAAAAAAAGUAUUUCAUUCGAAAAUGGUGAUGAACCAUGUGUUCCAAUUACCCGUCCUGACUGUAUAGAAAUAAUGGAUCCUAUGAAAUCCAACUAUUCUACCAUCCAUGACUUGGAGGGAGGGCAGUUCUUAUCCAACUACUCAACUGUCACAAGUACUAAUAGUGCUCCAUAUGUACGAGAUACCGCUCUUCUUCUUCACAGAGAGCAUAAAUUAUUUACACAAAGUCGGGAAGACAAAACGAGAAGAAGAUCAAGGAAUGCCACAUUCUGUUUCAUCUUCGCAAUUAUACUCAUUUUGGUAUUAGUUGUGAUUGCAGCAGUUUCUCUACAUCAUAAAUUAACAAAUACGAGCAAUACUGAUGAGUUUAACCACCAGAACAAUACCAUUUUUAAAGCAAUUGGUAUAAAGGAUAUGAAUCUCAAUCUCAGUGAUAUAAAGGCAGAUAAAGACAUCAACCUCAGUCACACAAAAGAGAUGGGGCUGAAAACGAACACCACUUCUAAAUUUUUUCUUUAGCUUAUAAAUACCCCUGGUAACAAAAUUGUAUUUUUGUGAGGAGAUACUAUUAAGAAUUUGCUUUUUAAUGAAUAGUAUAUGCGUUUUCCUUAAAUUAAAGAAAUUUGAAAAUUGAUAAAGCAGGAUGAUUGCAAGAGAGUAAAAUCAGGGUUGAAAAUGGUAACAAAUUUUUGUUACAGCUGAAACCAUGUAUGCACAUGGUGUUAGAGUUAAAACCAUGAGGGUUUUGUUAAGCUUGUUUUUUUGUUUAUGUUUUGGUUAAAGUUUUGAUCAAUAGAAAUGUUGAGAAUUGUGAUGUUUUAUUUCAAUUUUACUUUAACCUGAUAAUUCAGAUUAGAUACAAGUAAUAUUUUUGCAAUAACAAACUUACAUCUUCUCUUUUUUUAUUAAUCGCUAAGCCUUAGUUCCACUGAUUUUAUGUCUUUAGCUGGGGCUAGUUAUUGUUUUAUAAGUGCUUUAUAAUGUUUGAUAGUGUUAUAUAUUGUUUGAUUAUGUCUUUGUUUUUUGUCACCUAUACAUGUAGGUACAAUGUAUAGAUGUUUGUUUUGGUGUUUUUUAUUCACCUUAUUACAAAUGUAUUUGAUGUAUUGUAGUAUAUUUUGAUGCAUUGUUUGUUUGUUGUUCACCCACUUCAACUGAAAAUCCAGUAUACCAUUAUUAUUUAUUAUUUAUGUGGUCAGUUAUUAGUUAUGAAGUCAGAAUACCCUUAUUUCAAAUAAAAUGUAUUAUUAAGUUUUCUUUAUAUAACAUUCAUGUGACCUGACCAAAAAAGGCCUUGUUUGAAAAGGGUAAAACCCUUACACAUUUAUGCUUUGGAUGAUAGCUUUUAUGCUGUCAGUGAUACUUUUUUUUAUGUCACUCCAGAGUUCAGGGACUUACCACACAUAUAUGUAGUUUCACCAAACAAUGGUUUAAUGGAAAUAUUUGGGACAUGUAAAUUAUAUACUGUCUGUACUGUCAAAACAGCUGUACAUGUGUCUAGUAUUGCUUCAUGAAAGUUUUGAAGGCCAAAAUUUCUCAUAUAUUAUUUAACAUAUAACUGUCUCUUGUAACUACUUUUAAUUGGCCUAACUACUACAUGUAUAUGAGUAUGGUAUACACCAUUGUCACGUGUUUGUAAUGUACACAUGUACAUGUGUUCUCACAAUAUGGUCAGUUAUGAGAUAUUAUCUUUAUUUUUUGUAUUGAUAAUUGUCAAAAUAAUUUAUUUGCAAGCUUGUAUGCAAGUUUUUACAGUAAUAGGGAGACCUCCACAAGAAUGAAUAUCAGUUUGAAUAUGGUUGGGAAGAUUUCCAAAUUUAAUAUUUUUAAUGAUAUAAGAAAAUGAUGAAAGGGGUGAUAUUCUAUUUGUUUUUAUUUAUUUAUUUAAAUUGAAGUUCAUGUAUGUUACAAGAUGUUAGACAAGUUGACUUUUUUAUGAAUUGAUAAGUGAUAGAACAGAUUUGUCUGGUAUAAUGUUUAGUAAGAAAAUGGUUGUGAUUUUAAAUACAUUAUACCACAAGGCCAAAUAAAAUGAAGAUGUUGUUCUGGUUGUUCUGGUUUCCCUAUCUACACUUAUUUUGAACCCCUAGCUCCUUUACCGUAAACUUUUUUGGGCCAUUUUUAAGUAAGCAUCUUUUAUUCACAUGUGUCUUAGUAUAUUCUAUAGAAAAAAUUAUCAAAAAAAGGAAAAUAACAUACCUACCAAACCUGUUAUUUUAAUAACAUAUAUAGAUAAUAACCAGAAUCACACAAUUAUUCUAUUUGGCCUGAGUGAUUACUUUUAUAGAUGGUUCAGUGUAAAAGUUUUCAAUUUUAUAUUAAAAAAAUAGUUAAAUCCCGACAUGCCUGACAACUAUUUAUUUUCAGCUUUAAUACUGAAGACGUCUCUACUUAAUUAAUUUUGCUUGUAAUCACAUUUUAUGAGGUUAUGUUAAUUAGAUGCUUUAGCUAAAUACAUGAUUUAUGAUUUACCUAUCUUUUCAUUAAAGCUAAUAAAGCUGCCAUACUUGGUAUGGGUUUAACAACUUAAACACUACAAAAUAAUUUGAUUAUUUUAACACAACAAAAAGACUGAAGUGAAAGAAAAAAGUCUAGAAAUGUCCUUUGAUAAACAUUAAUGAUCUGUGUGUUAGAUUCACAUUAACAAGGGUCCUUAAACAGCCAAAAUUUAUUCCAGCAAUUGAUAAAUUGAAAAAAAAAUAUUAUGAAGACAGACAUGCAAUGUUAUAUUUAUAAUCCUAUAUCUCAAUACCUGAUUUUUAACUUUUUUGAAUUGAGUUUCCUUGAUGAAUAUUUUUAACAUGCCGUACACACAAAUAUUAUUAUUUAUUUGGUCUGCUCUUAGCAGAAAUAUUGUUGUCUUUUCAAAGUUUUUCUUUGUUUAAUAUUCAAACAAUUUUUAAAUACAUCUUCACUUAUUUUAUCUAUAUUGACUAUAACCAUGAUUCAGAUUUAUAGUCAUUUUCAGUAUGUAAACUAAUACAAGGAGUGUCUUAUAGUCACAGGUUUAAUAUUAGAAAGGAAAAGUUAUCUAAUACAAGAAAUAAUAUGGAGAUAUAUAUAUUUUAUAUUCUAAUUUAUUCGGUAUAAAAUGUAAUUGUAUUUAUCAUACUUAAUCCCUUCAAAUGACGCACAUUUCUGUUCAGCUCAGUUGGAUAAUUUCAGGUGUUUCUUUAGAUACUUUAAUAUUUUCAAAAACAUUUUGAAUUAGUAUUUAAUCAAAAAGGACAAUAUAGAACUUUCAAAACCUUUCUAAGGGUUCUUUUGUAAUAAAAUAACUAAUGUGCGUGUAGACUUUUAUAUACAGACAAAUCUGAUCACAUGAUUUCUACCUGAAUGCCGCUGUCAAAUUAAUUGAAAAGAAAUAAGUCUGCCUUUUUACAAUUGUUUUUAACUUAAAUAAGAACAGAGUAUAAAGUAAUAAUCAAAACAGGAAUUAUUAUGGAUUUUGCUCUAAGACUGUAAUGUACAUGUAUUGUUGGAAACAUUUACAUGAUUUUAUCUCUGGUUGAUAUUUUGUCUCUGUGGCAAUAAUAUCAUCUUUCCUUAUUUUAUAGCAAUAGAAAUGUUUUAGUAUCUUUAGUCUUUUAAGAAUUUGCAUUAUGAGCCUUUUUUUAGGGAUUUUAAAGUAGUGCAGCCUAACUACGCAUGUUAAAUGUAUACCUUAUAGCUUGGGUGAAGAUUAUUUCUUAAUUGAUGGAUGCAGUACUCCUUUUUUGAGGGAUAUUUAAUUCAAAGAUUUUAGGGAUACAGGGUAUUUCCUAAACAAGGUUAUUAUUUGACUUUCUUAUACUUUAAAUUGUUUAUUAUUUGUUUAGUUCUAUUUUAGUUUUUUGUCUCCACCAUUUAUGUUUAGACUUAAAAUAACAAUAUGACUGCUUGUAAAUGUUAAGUUUCAGUAAAUAAACCUUUAUUGUGUUCA